ACUUAAAAAUCUUUAUCUUUUUCAAGGAAAUAAGAAACCUUUAGCUGGCUCGCACUCACGGCUCAUCUCCCUCAAUGAAAUUAAAAUCCCUAAAUCACUACCCUCUAAACCUAAAUCUGCAUAUUCCUCUCAAAGUCUAUGAAUGACGGUUUGGGGAGAAAAUUAAACUAGGAAUGGACGACUAUCUCACCAAAAGUUUAGUGUGAAACAAUCAAAGACAGAAAGUAAGAUCGGAUCCACUACGAAUGCUACGAAAUAUGGUUUCCUUCCGCCAGAGAAAUUUUACAGGUUUUGGAGAUUGAAGUUUACAAGUAAAAAAUCUUAUUUGGCGGGCAUACAAGUUGACUAUCAUUUUGCUAGGAAUAUUGGAUAAACUUUGUAUAAUGUCUAGGGAUGUUAUCUAGGUUUUUUGUGUGAGUUCUGUCAACAAUAUUGUGAUUGCUUAAUUGAAGUGUACCUGUAAAUGACGUCAUUAAUGGAAUGUUAAUAAAUUUUUGUAAAGCAAAAUUUAUCUCUAUAU